rnacentral:lncRNA from 1 species
AGAGCACUUAAGGGAGGAGGCGUUGACCUGGGUUUUCAACAAUGAAUGGAGUGUUUGACUGCAUCGAGGCCUAUGCCCCCGGCUUCAAGAGAUCUGUGCUGGGCAGAGAUAUCCUCACCCCACAGGACCUAGAGAGGAUCUUCGGGCUUCCUGGAGGGAACAUAUUUCAUGGUGCCAUGUCCCUGGACCAGCUCUACUUUGCCCGACCAGUGCCCCAACACUCUGACUACAGAUGCCCCGUGCAAGGCCUAUACCUCUGUGGGAGUGGGGCCCAUCCUGGAGGAGGCGUCAUGGGAGCGGCUGGACGGAAUGCAGCCCACAUAGUCUUUAGGGACCUCAAGAACAUGUGAUGCUGGACCAGCUCUGAGCCCAAGGAGAAAAGUUUUCCCUGCACUUUGAGCCGCCUAGCAGGCCAUCUUCCCAUGAUGCCCUGCUUCCCAUGAUGCCACUGGAGACAACUGCACUAGCAAGGCGCCACUGUUUCUUAAUCAAGGACUCAGUUACAUUUAACACAAUCUCACCCGUGCCCUUGGAUUAGCUGGUUUUGUCUG